rnacentral:rRNA from 1 species
UACGUAGGGGCCAAGCGUUGUCCGGAAUCAUUGGGCGUAAAGCGCGCGUAGGCGGCCCGGUAAGUCCGCUGUGAAAGUCAAAGGCUCAACCUUUGAAUGUCAGCGGAUACUGCCGGGCUAGAGUCCGGAAGAGGCGAGUGGAAUUCCUGGUGUAGCGGUGGAAUGCGCAGAUAUCAGGAGGAACACCAACGGCGAAGGCAGCUCGCUGGGACGGUACUGACGCUGAGGCGCGAAAGCGUGGGGAGCGAACAGG